UACGUAGGGGGCAAGCGUUGUCCGGAUUUAUUGGGCGUAAAGAGCGUGUAGGCGGCCCGAUUAGUCCGCUGUGAAAGUCCAGGGCUCAACCCUGGAAUGCCGGUGGAUACUGUCGGGCUAGAGUCCGGAAGGGGCGAGUGGAAUUCCAGGUGUAGCGGUGAAAUGCGUAGAUAUCUGGGAGAAUACCCGUGGCGAAGGCGGGCAUCUGGGGGAUUCCUGACGCUGAGGCGCGAAAGCUAGGGGAGCGAACGGG
rnacentral:rRNA from 1 species